rnacentral:rRNA from 1 species
AUUGAACGCUGGCGGCAUGCUUUACACAUGCAAGUCGGACGCGUGGCGCACGGGUGAGUCAUAUAUUGGAACGUACCGUGUAAUUGGGGUUAACCAGUCGAAAGGUUGGCUAAUACCGCUUAUUAUUCGCUUGUCCAUUAUCGGAUUGGCUAGUUGGUGGGGUAAAGGCCUACAAAGGCGACGAUCAGUAGCGGGUCUGAGAGGAUGAUCCGCCACACUGGAACUGAGACACGGCCCAGACUCCUACGGGAGGCAGCAGUGGGGAAUUUUGGACAAUGGGCGAAAGCCUGAUCCAGCAAUGCCGCGUGUCUGAAGAAGGCCUUCGGGUUGUAAAGGACUUUUGUUAGGGAAGCGGUACCUAAAGAGUAAGCAACGGCUAACUACGUGCCAGCAGCCGCGGUAAUAC